UACUGCCUCCUUUCCUAGGUGCUCACCUUAAACCACUCCAUCACAUGCAACCCAAAGUGAUAAUUGGUUUGAAAACGAAUCGUUCAGGGGACAGAGCACGGCAAAGGAAGAGGGCAGAGGAGGUUCUGAGGCACGCGUCGCCGUCUUCCCGCCAUCUUGGGGUCUUACGACUCAUUUCAGCAGAAUGAGGUUCUACCAGCUGCCUAGCAGAUUCUCAGCCUUAGCUAUUAUGAACUGAUGGUCUGGCAAUGCUUCUUGCGUCUCUGUCAUUCCCUCAGCCCCCCCACCCCCAUCCCACCCCACUGUAAAUCUUCUCGUCUACUGCAGGCACAGGCUUUCCCUGGACUUCAAAAAACAGCCAACCCUCGUAAGAGUUGCCUGUACCUGGCAACCGGCAACAUGCAUCUGUCAACCAGUUUGUCUGCGAGAGGGAGGGGCCCCACAGCCACAGCUCUGGCCCAGAUGAGCCCACCCGUACCAGAGGAGCCGAGGCUGGCUUGAACUAUGUCCUGCUGCCUCCUUGCCCUUCUCCUGGGCACUUUCUUAGGUGUCAGCGCUCAGACCAUCCACCAAUGGCCACCUGUCAGGGUGCGGCUUGUGGGCAGCCCGCUCUCCCUGGAGUGCAUCGUGAAGGGGAUAUCAAACCCUUAUCUAUAUUGGUACCGGCAGGCCGAGGGAGGGCCCCCCCCAGCUGCUCUUCUACUCCAUAAAUAUUCACCAGGUAGACCCUGAGGCACUACGGAACUUCACAGCCUCUAGGCCCCAGGACGGCCAGUUCAUCUUAAGUUCUCAGAAGCUCCUCCUCAGUGACUCUGGCUUCUACCUCUGCGCCUGGAGUCUCACACCAAGCCGGGCGAGCAUCAUUCGAUCUGCAGAGGGAAGUCUGAGACAGAGACGCGUAGUGUUGGAGACGGCCACCGACAUGUGGAAGACCCCAAGCUACACGCUGGUGGCCAGCAAAACUCCACGCACUCCUGGGACCGAUAGGGAGAAAGCCGGGGCCUCUCUCUAG